rnacentral:rRNA from 1 species
GAACCAGUACCGUGAGGGAAAGGCGAAAAGAACCCCGGCGAGGGGAGUGAAAAAGAACCUGAAACCGUGUACGUACAAGCAGUGGGAGCCUCUUUAUGGGGUGACUGCGUACCUUUUGUAUAAUGGGUCAGCGACUUAUAUUCUGUAGCAAGGUUAACCGUAUAGGGGAGCCGAAGGGAAACCGAGUCUUAACUGGGCGUUAAGUUGCAGGGUAUAGACCCGAAACCCGGUGAUCUAGCCAUGGGCAGGUUGAAGGUUGGGUAACACUAACUGGAGGACCGAACCGACUAAUGUUGAAAAAUUAGCGGAUGACUUGUGGCUGGGGGUGAAAGGCCAAUCAAACCGGGAGAUAGCUGGUUCUCCCCGAAAGCUAUUUAGGUAGCGCCUCGUGAAUUCAUCUUCGGGGGUAGAGCACUGUUUCGGCUAGGGGGUCAUCCCGACUUACCAACCCGAUGCAAACUGCGAAUACCGAAGAAUGUUAUCAC